CGUAGUUAGAUUUUGGUGUUCGACAAAUGGUCUGCUUCGGUUUGUACUGUUUGUUGGCGCUUCUUUUCUGGGGAACUCACUGCUCUUAACUGAGGGGUGUUGUAACGCAGAUCGUUUACUUUGAAAAAAUUAGAGUGUUCAAAGCAGGCCAAACGCAUUUUGAAUACAUUAGCAUGGAAUAAUGGAAUAGGACUUUGGUCUUAUUUUGUUGGUUUCUAAGGCCGAGGUAAUGA
rnacentral:rRNA from 1 species